rnacentral:ncRNA from 1 species
CCGGUUCCGGUUCACGACUUCGAAACCUCGAGGCCGACCCGGCGACC